rnacentral:lncRNA from 1 species
AAUAAAACAAUUUACUUUUUGAAAAAAUAUUUGACUUUAAAUUUCCUUAUUUAUGAUUAAAAGUAUGUUUAUAAAUUCCAUUUAGCCAUUCUGCUUUUUAAUCCCUUCAUCUGUAUAUAUUGAAUGCAAAUAUGGGUAAAAUGGAAGAUCUGCAUGUUAAUUGAUACAUGAGAGUAAGGUGCAUGUAUCAAUUCACAUGCAGUGAUUCAGUGAAUGAGAAAGUGCAAUAUGGAGGAUGUAUGAACAAAUUUUAAAAUAUGCUGCAUAUUGCAAAAGCAUGCAUAUGAAAUGAGAAUAGGUAAGAAAGGAAAAUGUUUGAUGGAAUAAUGAGGUAUGAGUGGGUAUGCAAAGGUAAUGAACAAAAACAGGAUGGUAAGAAAGUAAAACAGAAUGAUUUGAAUAAAACAAGUGGAUGGUUUGAAAGCAUGAGAAGUUUGAGGAAGUAAUAAAAUUGAAAUGUCCUGUGUGAAAGAUAAGGAUGGCAGGAUGCUGUUGAAUGAAUCUAAGAUGAUUAAUAGAUGAUUAUUUUUAAUGAAAUUUUUAAACCAGCUAGAAAAAUGAUGAGGAAGAAAAGCAAAUAGAAUCAAUGUAAUGGUUAAAUGUAAACAUGAAAAUGACCAAAUUAGUAUGGAAGAGAUUGUGAAUGUGAUUGGCACAUUGAAGUAUGGUAAGAACUCGUAUAGAUGAGAUCAUGGCUGAGAUGUUGAAAUAUGAUAAAUCACUUUUGUGUAGUGGAUAUGACAUUUAUGUAAAGUUGUGUUGAAUGAAUGGUGUGGUUGUGAAUGACUAUAGUAAAGUUGUGAUUGUUCCAUGUAUAAAAGGAAAAAUGAAACGUGAGCACAUAGUUGAAAUGAUAUUUGAAAAGUUUGUUAUUGAGAUCAAGAAGAGAAUGAUUGGUGACUCUUCAUAUUCUCAAUAACUAUCUGCAGAUGUGGAAUAUGAAUUAGGGUUUCAGGAAUGGUAGAGAAUGUAUGGAUCAGACUUUCAAAGCAAAUGAUUGUAGACAAAUGUUUGUGUGGUGAGAAAGAAGGCAUUUAUACAUUUUAUUAAUCUUCAGACAGUGUACAGCUGAGGCAAUAGAAAUAAGUUGUGGAAGAUAUGUCAGAUCCGAAAAGGACUUUGAAAAAACUCCCAAUCAAAUAAAUAAUAAUUCUAAUAAUUAUUUUAAAUGUUUUUUUGUAAUGCUUUCUACUGAUGUCGUGUGGAACUGUCAUAUUUGUAAUCAGUGUUUACCUUUUAACUCAUAUGUAUAUUUUAUAUUUCAUUAUAUACCAUAUAUAUUCAUGUAUAUGUCCCAAAAAAUUUUUGAAAUGGGAGGUUUGUUUAUAUACAGGUCAAAAAAAUCAAGUUUUUUUGGUUAGAAAAAUUGAAGUAAUAUGCAAAACCAUAACUUAUUGAAUGUCUUCUGAAGAUCAGGGAGAAAAUUUUGCAAUAAUUCAUUUAAUGCAAUACUAGGUAAAAUUUUAUCUUACUCCAAAGUGAUCAUGCUGCUGACUCCAA